rnacentral:lncRNA from 1 species
CUGACUCUAGAAAGCAUAAGUUGAAAGAAGUUUCCAGAAUAAACCAUUAGAGAUGUCAAAGAUGAAGAUUUCAUAAUGUGUACAACUAGUGUCUUGGAUACACAGAUUCCUUGAGGAAAAUAUAAGUUCAAUGAACUUUAGGUAUAUGAUAACCACUUACAAAGAAAAGUUAAAUAUCACUGAAAGAAAGCAAAAGCCUUACAAUUCCUGGAUGCUGAUAUGAUUACAAUAUGACACUUGUGCAUGAAGAUUUAAGUGGAAAAGUCGAUGCACAGACAGUCCCACUCUCUCGGCGUUGGAAGCCUGGGUCCAGUGGCAUGAAAAGUCGUUACACCUGGAGACUUCCUCAGCUGCAUUGGAUGGCCGUGUUGUCUUUUGUGCUCCAACGUGCUCUAAGCACUCCACAGUGCUUUGCUGCGUUGCCCUCUCAGCCGUUGAACUUUCUUAUUGGUUUCUUCUGUCUGUUUGGCCGAAGCAGUCUUCACAUGCUGGAGAACAGAGGAUUGAAGUUACUCUCUGUCAGAAAUAACUCUAUUCCAAAGUUUUGUGCAGCAAAUUUUUCUACCUCCUCUAUUUGGGCUUCUAAGAUCCUAUCAGUGUGAGAAGAAAUAUGAUAUAGUGGAGUAAGUGCUGAACUUGUACUCAGAAAAACCUGGGUUUGAGUCUCUCUCUUGCAUCUUGAUUUCUGUGUCACACUGGUCAAGUCAGUCAUCCUCUUCUAGUAUUAGUUCCCUAAUAAUAAGUAAAAUAAUAAGUAAAUAAGGAUAAUAAUAAUAACAUUGACCUUUUAAGGUCUUUAAGGAGAAAAGGGAGAUAAUGUAUGUAAAUCAGUUUAUAAGCCUUCAAAGUGCUACAUAAUCAUUUUUAGAAUUAUUAUUGUUAUAUUGAGAUGAGUGAGAGAUAUCUCCAGAAGUCAUUACACAAUAUCCAUACAAUUGUUAUUUAACUAUCUUCUUUUAUUAUGAUAUCAGGU